GGGUAGUGUAUCUCACACCUCAGAUAUACACGGGUGAAUGUGGAUUUUCAGAAUCAGUCAGUGAGCCCUGCCAGGGUUCUGAGCAGCUCCGUUGAGUUGGAGAAUCUUCCGUCUAACCCUGUCUUUAUCGUCAAUAUCACCGAGGUGUCUGUUCCGCCUCUUUCACUUUCAGUGCACAAAUAAAAAGAAGCAGUGGCUCCUGUGUGUGUGUGUGUGUGUGUGCACUAACAGGAGGUCCAGGUGCAGCCUUUGGAUAUUGAUGAAGAUUUACUGCCCCUGCAAGACCUUCCUCAACUGCGUAGUCUGGAGCAAAGGAUGCAACAGAGCCCAGAUUACAAGCAAAAUCUGGUAAACUGGUUGGCGCUUAUUGACGGGGUGUAUGUGCGUGACUGCACCUGGCGCAUAUUUAAGAGGGUGAUUGCUAACUCCCUGGC